rnacentral:rRNA from 1 species
AAGACCUUGCGCUUUUGGAGCGGCCGAUGCCUGAUUAGCUUGUUGGUAAGGUAAAAGCUUACCAAGGCUCCGAUCAGUAGCUGGUCUGAGAGGACGACCAGCCACACUGGGACUGAGACACGGCCCAGACUCCUACGGGAGGCAGCAGUGGGGAAUUUUGGACAAUGGGGGCAACCCUGAUCCAGCCAUGCCGCGUGAGUGAAGAAGGCCUUCGGGUUGUAAAGCUCUUUCAGCCGGAACGAAACGGUUACGGAUAACACCCGUGACUACUGACGGUACCGGAAGAAGAAGCACCGGCUAACUACGUGCCAGCAGCCGCGGUAAUACGUAGGGUGCGAGCGUUAAUCGGAAUUACUGGGCGUAAAGCGUGCGCAGGUGGUUUUGUAAGUCAGAUGUGAAAGCCCCGGGCUCAACCUGGGAACU